rnacentral:rRNA from 1 species
ACGGGGGCCCGGCACAAGCGGUGGAGUAUGUGGUUAAUUUCGAUGCAACGCGAGAACUUACCUGGUCUUGACAUCCCGGAGACCCUUAGGAACUAGGGGUGCUUCCAUCUGGAAGAAUCUGGAGACAGGUGCUGCAUGGCUGUCGUCAGCUCGUGUCGUGAGAUGUUGGGUUAAGUCCCGCAACGAGCGCAACCCUUGCCUUUAGUUGCCAGCAGUUCGGCUGGGCACUCUAAAGGGACUGCCGGUGUUAAACCGGAGGAAGUGGGGAUGACGUCAAGUCCUCAUGGCCUUUAUGACCAGGGCUACACACGUACUACAAUGGCCGAUACAAAGGGCAGCGACACUGCGAGGUGAAGCCAAUCCCGUAAAAUCGGUCUCAGUCCGGAUUGGAGUCUGCAACUCGACUCCAUGAAGUUGGAAUCGCUAGUAAUCGUGGAUCAGCAUGCCACGGUGAAUACGUUCCCGGGCCUU